AAGUACUUGACCAUGAUGGACUAUUAAUACUAUCAAACUCAUUUAACAGAGGAUACGGAACAAAUAUCAGUUUGCAAAGUCUUUCAGCUGCUACUAAUGUGGGCUGGAUUUGAGUGAGCAAUGGAGAGGGACUAACUGAAUUGAAAGAAGAAUGCAAACAACUAAUGGAUAAUUUUCUCACUUCACCCACUGUCAAACAGUUUGCAAAGGAACACACAGAUGAUACAAGCAUCUAGCACAGAGGCAAAAGGACUGCAGUUCUCUGUGUAAAGAUGCGAAGUGCCUCAUUUGCCAUCAAAGUUAAUGAGGAUGUCAGUGAGGUUCAACUCCCAGAGGACACUGUGGAGUCUGCCAAAAAAAAAGAAAGAAAGAAGAAACUAUGAAUAGUAAUGAGCAUCUCUUCUUGAGGCAAAACAAAGAGGAUGGUAUAAGACACACAGUUCAGCUACAUGCAGAAUAAUGACAUUGUGAGCAGUGCCUCUUGUGUGCUACACAACUGAAUGAAGGUGCGCAAUGUGUGGGCUGAGAAAGCUUUGAAGCAAUCACUAAGGAUGAAUUGUGCUUUUAGGUGCAGAUCAGGCUGGGGCGGUGCCAGACUACUCCUGGGGUGGGGUUCCCAAAUGCUUUGUGGAUGACUUCAGCAUACAGUGAGAGCUCAUCUGCUACAGCAUCCCUUUAGGGGCUCUAGAAUACGCUCCAUUUCUAGUUAACUUACUCCUAGUACUCCCUAGAUUCCUCCUAUUCCUCCCUGCCUAGUUCCUCAUGGAAGUGCAGGUGUAAAGUCGACAGACCCUGGCCAUCAGUGGGCGGGAUCAAACCGGGGACCUCGGGAGCUUAUUACAUGAGCUUCUACGGCAUGAGCUAAAAGCCAAAUGCCUAUUAGUUAAGGCUAUAGAGCAGACUCAUUUAAUUCUCUCUCUCAGUGGUCUUGGUGCCACUAAAUGGGACAGAGCACUGCACCCAGAAGGUGUGUGGGUUACACAAGUAAAGCAGUCAUUGUUGUUCCAUGAGUGCAGGGACUGCACAGAUCUGGGCGACGGCGGGGGGGACAGACAUUCUAACAUGCAUGGAAUGGUAUCCAUAGGCCAUUGAAGAAGUGUAGAAUUGCACAGUUUAAUAACACUUGGCCUGUUCCAUCUCCUGACCCACCCUUGGAGUGGCUCAGAAUACCCCCUGCGUAGCAUUCCUACAAGGUGUGAGGAGGGUUGCAGAACUUUCUACAUUAGGCCUGUU